GACGAACGCUGGCGGCGUGCCUAAUACAUGCAAGUCGAGCGCAGGAAAUCGAUGGAACCCUUCGGGGGGAAGUCGAUGGAAUGAGCGGCGGACGGGUGAGUAACACGUAAAGAACCUGCCCUCAGGUCUGGAAUAACCACGAGAAAUCGGGGCUAAUACCGGAUGGGUCAUCGGACCGCAUGGUCCGAGGAUGAAAGGCGCUUCGGCGUCGCCUGGGGAUGGCUUUGCGGUGCAUUAGCUAGUUGGUGGGGUAAUGGCCCACCAAGGCGACGAUGCAUAGCCGACCUGAGAGGGUGAUCGGCCACACUGGGACUGAGACACGGCCCAGACUCCUACGGGAGGCAGCAGUAGGGAAUCUUCCACAAUGGACGAAAGUCUGAUGGAGCAACGCCGCGUGAGCGAUGAAGGCCUUCGGGUCGUAAAGUUCUGUUGUAAGGGAAGAACAAGUGCCGCAGGCAAUGGCGCCACCUUGACGGUACCUUGCGAGAAAGCCACGGCUAACUACGUGCCAGCCGCCGCGGUAA
rnacentral:rRNA from 1 species